CCUACGGGAGGCAGCAGUGGGGAAUAUUGGACAAUGGGCGCAAGCCUGAUCCAGCCAUGCCGCGUGAGUGAUGAAGGCCUUAGGGUUGUAAAGCUCUUUCGCUAGGGAAGAUAAUGACGGUACCU
rnacentral:rRNA from 1 species